AUAUAUAUAAAUACUGCUGUCCCAGGUAUUGAUUUUUAUUCUUUAAACUAUUUAUUAAGCGGCAGACAAUGGCUUCAGCACUGGAGCCAACCCAAGCCCUCACACACACUCUCACACACACACGCCCACACACACACACUCACACACACACACACACACUCACACACACUCACACACACACACAGUCUCACACACACACGCCCAAUCACUACGUCCAAAAAACCGUAUUGACUGCAUUGCCACCGUAUUGUUCUGUUUUGUUUGACUGAGAUUUGGAAGUGAAAUGUGUUUUUGUUUGCAGUGUUGAUUUGUCUAGAGGUUAAUGAUCAGAACUGAUCGAGUUAUUGAUUAAGGUUGAUGCCUGAUGUAGGUCUAUGUCUAUGGCUACUAAGACGCAUACAUCUGAGUUAUUGAUUAAGGUUGAUGCCUGAUGUAAGUGAUUGAUUGGAAGUAUUGGAGUCCAGACCAAAAGCACAACUGGCCUGAUGUGUUUAUUGGUUGUCAACUUGAAUCUGUGUGUGUUGAGUGUGUUGUGUGUGUUGUGUGUGUUGUGUGUGUGUGUGUGUGUGUGUGUGUGUGUGUGUGUGUGUGUGUGUGUGUGUGUUAAGAUGCCCCCUGUUUAUGUCACCAGCAUGUCCUCAGACCAGCCAGUCCAGUUCGGACCCUGACCCUAUGUGACCCCUGACCCUAUGUGACCCCGACCCUAGGUGACCCUCAUCAGGGUGUAAUGGACCACAACACAUAGAUCAGAUACCUAAGAGUUUCUACACAAUCACCCCAUCAGGUGUGUGUGUGUGUGUGUGUCCAGGUUUGCUGUUUAACAAUGAGAUGUGUUCCCUGCAGAGCGUAUGUGAGGCGAGUGCUAGAAUGAGCCGACUGUAAUAAAGCACUGUGUGUAGGCAACUCCUGUGGCAAUGCUACAGAUAGUUAUUCCACCAGCUAAAGCUAGCCUUUCCUCCAGCUAAAGCUAGCCUUUGCUCCAGCUAGAGCUAGCCUUUCCUCCAGCUAAAGCUAGCUAUUCAACCAGCUAGAGCUAGCCUUUCCUCCAGCUAAAGCUAGCUAUUCCACCAGCUAGAGCUAGCCUUUCCUCCAGCUAAAGCUAGCUAUUCCACCAGCUAAAGCUAGCCUUUCCUCCAGCUAAAGCUAGCCUUUCCUCCAGCUAAAGCUAGCUAUUCCACCAGCUAAUAGCUAUUCCACCAGCUAAUAGCUAUUCCACCAGCUAGAGCUAGCUAUUCCACCAGCUAGAGCUAGCCUUUCCUCCAGCUAAAGCUAGCUAUUCCACCAGCUAAAGCUAGCCUUUGCUCCAGCUAAAGCUAGCCUUUCCUCCAGCUAAAGCUAGCUAUUCCACCAGCUAAAGCUAGCCUUUGCUCCAGCUAAAGCUAGCCUUUCCUCCAGCUAAAGCUAGCUAUUCCACCAGCUAAAACCAUUUUCUCCUCCAGCUAAAGCUAGCCUUUGCUCCAGCUAAAGCUCGCUGGUAUUGACGGGAAGCAGGGAAGCAGUGUGCCAGUCAAACCUCACUGUUGUGUUCAGAUGGAAAUACGCUGUUAGGGUCUGAAUGUUGUUUAGUCAUGUGGUGUGGGUGUGGACGGCAGACCUCACACACACGUACUCACACACACGUACUCUCACACACACCUACUCUCACACACACCUACUCACACUUUUAAACACUCUUUAGUUCAAAAGGUUAUAAUAUUAGUAUUUUCAUACUGUUUUCACUGUCAUGUUGUUGAUGCUCAUGCCUUACUGUAUAUGAUCACAUAUGUUCAUAAAUCACCAUAGUAACUCUGUAUAUGAUCACAUAUGUUCAUAAAUCACCAUAGUAACUCUGUAUAUGAUCAUAUAUGUUCAUACAUCACCAUGGUAACUCUGUAUAUGAUCACAUAUGUUCAUAAAUCACCAUAGUAACUCUGUAUAUGAUCACAUAUGUUCAUACAUCACCAUAUGUGUGUGUGUGUGUUCAUACAUCACCAUAUGUAUGUGUGUGUGUGUGUGUGUGUGUUCAUAAAUCACCAUAGUAACUCUGUAUAUGAUCACAUAUGUUCAUAAAUCACCAUAGUAACUCUGUAUAUGAUCACAUAUGUGUGUGUGUGUGUGUGUGUGUUCAUACAUCACCAUAUGUAUGUGUGUGUGUGUGUGUGUGUGUUCACAUAUCACCAUAUGCCAGUAACUCUUCAACUUUAAUAAAAUCUAAACAUGCUAA